ACGCUGGCGGCACGCCUAACACAUGCAAGUCGAACGAAGUAGCAAUACUUAGUGGCAGACGGGUGAGUAACAUGUGGGUAUCUACCCUUUGGCCUGGAAUAACACGAGGAAACUUGUGCUAAUACCAGAUAAGUCUUUACGGAGAAAGCUUUAUGCACCAUUGGAUGAGCCCGCACUUGAUUAGUUUGUUGGUAGGGUAAUGGCCUACCAAGACUAUGAUCAAUAGCUGAUUUGAGAGGAUGAUCAGCCACAUUGGGACUGAGACACGGCCCAAACUCCUACGGGAGGCAGCAGUGGGGAAUCUUGCACAAUGGAGGAAACUCUGAUGCAGCGAUGCCGCGUGAGUGAAGAAGGCCUUUGGGUUGUAAAGCUCUUUCGUCGGGGAAGAAAAUGACUGUACCCGAAUAAGAAGGUCCGGCUAACUUCGUGCCAGCAGCCGCGGUAAUACGAAGGGACCUAGCGUAGUUCGGAAUUACUGGGCUUAAAGAGUUCGUAGGUGGUUGAAAAAGUUGGUGGUGAAAUCCCAGAGCUUAACUCUGGAACUGCCAUCAAAACUUUUCAGCUAGAGUAUGAUAGAGGAAAGCAGAAUUUCUAGUGUAGAGGUGAAAUUCGUAGAUAUUAGAAAGAAUACCAAUUGCGAAGGCAGCUUUCUGGAUCAUUACUGACACUGAGGAACGAAAGCAUGGGUAGCGAAGAGGAUUAGAUACCCUCGUAGUCCAUGCCGUAAACGAUGUGUGUUAGACGUUGGAAAUUUAUUUUCAGUGUC
rnacentral:rRNA from 1 species